rnacentral:rRNA from 1 species
UACGUAGGGUGCAAGCGUUGUCCGGAAUUAUUGGGCGUAAAGAGCGUGUAGGCGGCUUGAUUAGUCUGCUGUGAAAGUCCAGGGCUCAACCCUGGAAUGCCGGUGGAUACUGUCAAGCUAGAGUCCGGAAGGGGCGAGUGGAAUUCCUGGUGUAGCGGUGAAAUGCGUAGAGAUCAGGAAGAACAUCGGUGGCGAAGGCGCUCUGCUGGACCAUAACUGACACUCAGGGACGAAAGCUAGGGGAGCGAAUGGG